rnacentral:rRNA from 1 species
UUAAAUUGAAGAGUUUGAUCAUGGCUCAGAUUGAACGCUGGCGGCAGGCCUCACACAUGCAAGUCGAACGGUAACAGGAAGAAGCUUGCUUCUUUGCUG